AUACUCGUGCUAUCCUUAGAGAUAAGGAGUUCCUUCGGGACACGGGAUACAGGUGGUGCAUGGUUGUCGUCAGCUCGUGUCGUGAGAUGUUGGGUUAAGUCCCGCAACGAGCGCAACCCUUAUUACUAGUUGCCAUCAUUAAGUUGGGCACUCUAGUGAGACUGCCGGUGAUAAACCGGAGGAAGGUGGGGAUGACGUCAAAUCAUCAUGCCCCUUAUGACCUGGGCUACACACGUGCUACAAUGGAUGGUACAACGAGUCGCCAACCCGCGAGGGUGCGCUAAUCUCUUAAAACCAUUCUCAGUUCGGAUUGCAGGCUGCAACUCGCCUGCAUGAAGUCGGAAUCGCUAGUAAUCGCGGAUCAGC
rnacentral:rRNA from 1 species